AUGGAUAAUGAAAUUGAACAGAUUCUAUUAUUUCCUCAUGUCAAUGGAGAAAAUCUCUUUCUGGCGGAAGCAUGGUACUUCUCUUUGGCUGUGGAAAAAGAUUUAGCUGGAGGGUACACAAUAAGCGAAUCUGUUAGAGCUAGCAGAGGAGCAUUAUUGUUGCUAGUGCCAAUUUUUACUGUCUUUUCUGCAAUAGGAGUGCCUGUUUUAAGAUACAUUAUAUAUUUGACAAAUAUAUCUUUUUUAGAUAGACCACCACAGUAA